AUUGAACGCUGGCGGCAGGCCUAACACAUGCAAGUCGAGCGGAGCGGAGGACGGGCGAGUUAUGCCUAGGUAUCUGCCUGGUCGUGGGGGAUAACGUCCGGCAACGGGCGCUAAUACCGCAAACUCUCAGAAGCGCCUAGACCGGUUUAGCUAGUUGGUGGGGUAAAGGCCUACCAAGGCGACGAACCGUAACUGGUCUGAGAGGAUGAACAGUCAUACUGGAACUGUGACACGGUCCAGACUCCUACGGGAGGCAGCAGUGGGGAAUAUUGGACAAUGGGCGAAAGCCUGAUCCAGCCAUGCCGCGUGUGUGAAGAAGGUCUUCGGUUUGUAAAGCACUUGAAGUUGGGAGGCGUUACCAACAGAAGAAGCACCGGCUAACUUCGUGCCAGCAGCCGCGGUAAUUC
rnacentral:rRNA from 1 species